rnacentral:rRNA from 1 species
CAGCAGCCGCGGGAAUACGUAGGGGGCAAGCGUUAUCCGGAAUUAUUGGGCGUAAAGAGUGCGUAGGUGGUCUACUAAGCGCGAGGUGAAAGGCAAUGGCUCAACCAUUGUUAGCCUUGCGAACUGGCAGACUUGAGUGCAAGAGAGGAAAGCGGAAUUCCUAGUGUAGCGGUGAAAUGCGCAGAUAUUAGGAGGAACACCGGCGGCGAAGGCGGCUUUCUGGAUUGUAACUGACACUGAGGCACGAAAGCGUGGGUAGCAAACAGGAUUAGAGACCCCCGUAGUCCCUGUCUCUUAUACA